rnacentral:rRNA from 1 species
GAUGAACGCUGGCGGCGUGCCUAAUACAUGCAAGUCGAGCGAACGGACGAGAAGCUUGCUUCUCUGAUGUUAGCGGCGGACGGGUGAGUAACACGUGGAUAACCUACCUAUAAGACUGGGAUAACUUCGGGAAACCGGAGCUAAUACCGGAUAAUAUUUUGAACCGCAUGGUUCAAAAGUGAAAGACGGUCUUGCUGUCACUUAUAGAUGGAUCCGCGCUGCAUUAGCUAGUUGGUAAGGUAACGGCUUACCAAGGCAACGAUGCAUAGCCGACCUGAGAGGGUGAUCGGCCACACUGGAACUGGGACACGGUCCAAACCCCUACGGGAGGCAGCAGUAGGGAAUCUUCCGCAAUGGGCGAAAGCCUGACGGAGCAACGCCGCGUGAGUGAUGAAGGUCUUCGGAUCGUAAAACUCUGUUAUUAGGGAAGAACAUAUGUGUAAGUAACAGUGCACAUCUUGACGGGACCUAAUCAGAAAGCCACGGCGAACUACGU